UUGGAAUACAGGGUCCAUGUUUAUUUCUAGAUAUCUUCUGUUGUCUGUCCUUUACUUCAUGCCAAUGGUUCAUAUAACUGCUGAGAGCUGAGCUCCAAUGCUCAUGUUUGUUUAACAGUAUUAAAUAGUAUACUGACUUUCUUGUCACUCAGUGCUUUCACACUGCAUUGAUUUCACUCCAACAAACUUGUCCUGGUAUUAGAAAAAGGAAUUUAUCAAUGGCAUUCUAGGAUGAUCCAUUUUUCACACACAUUUAUGUCUAAACUUACAGGUGAUAAAUACUUUUAUUCCAGUUGUGGGGAACCAAAAGACAAUAAUUCCAAGAGUAAUUGAUCUGGAAAGAAAAAGGAUGCAUACUUUUUAAAUAUUUCAUCAUACCGGCCUGUGCAAAGUGGAAGAGUAGAAACAAAGUGGACUGAGAUGUACUGAUACAGAAUGAGGCUCUUGAGAAACAAAUGUGAUGAAUUGUGAGAACAGCUGUCAGAGCCCUUUUGGGAAGGAAGUACUUUUCCAAGUCAUCUCUGAGAACCCAAAGGACAUGAAGAAACCCUUUACUUUUAUGGCCUUCCAUUGUAUUUACUGCUUUGUUCCUUUAUUCAAGACCUGUAGUUCUGUUUGUGGGACUGGACUAUGAGGCACACACCAAACCUAGAGACAAAACAUUCCUGUGACAUUCAAGACCUUCAGUAGCUGCAUCUCCCUGUGAGGAGGUGGUCACAGCUGACAACUCGGAGCACCCGCACCAUCAGUACCUGGGCUGGAACACGAGUGGUUCGCAGGGCACUCGAGUGGGACAUGCCUGUGUGUUUCCAGUGACAUGGAUCAUGGAUAAGGACAGCCAAGGGCAAAUCACCUGCCUUACUGCACCAAAGAGGCAGAAGUUAAUGCUGGAGGGGUCUGAGUGUCAGCAGUAAUGUAAAUGCAGUCUGAGUGUUAACAGUACUGUAAAUUUACCUUCUGCUGUAACUCUAUGCACUUCUCCUGGGCUAGCUCUGCUCCUCUUCGAUUCUCCAUCUGUCUCGAUUGUCUUUGUUUUCUUUACUCACAAGGCCACACCACCUGAGAUGCUCACAGGAAACUCGCUGUAAUGAAGAAAUGCAGAUAGUUAAUAAAUGUAAUUUAAAGCAAA